AAGCCAAAAUUUCUGUGGAAAAAAGAACAUAAUCUCAACAUUCUGCAAUUUUGAAAAACUGCCACUGAGCCCAAAAACGCAAAAAAGAGAAGAGAAGUAAAAAAUGCCAAAGACAAAAAAUGGCAAAUGGGCUUCUAGGGGAGGGGAAAAAAACUGCAAGAAAAGUGCCAUGUGGGUUUAAGCUUCGAAUACGGAGAGAUCUCAGCAUCCUGGGUGAAUAGAAUAUUCGGUACAAAAGUGCAUAUUGCUUUUGUUGCAUACAGAAUAAAUUCAUGGUGAAAUAUCGAAAAUCUAAAUGUGGCAUGUAUAUUAAGUGAAGACUGGUAUGCCAUUAUUUGCUGUCAGUAUAAGGUAUAAUUGCAAAUCCAGUACAACCAAGACCAAAAGUGGAUUGCUUUGGAGCAAUCGAUAAGAAUCCCUCUGUGUUCCCUUGAGCAUGCAACAAAGAAGAGAAUUGUCAAUUUCAGAAAAAAAGCACUGGAGAAUGCAUCGGGGAUUUCCACUUCAGCUGUCCUGUUUGUUCAACUGAUUUUCACAGCCUUCUGUGUUGACCCAUCUACAGAGUAGAAGACUAAAUGAAACCCUUCUGUAUGUCACACAUGUUCUUUCUGGUACUGGGCUCUAAUUUGCUUUAUUAAUUCAGUCACAAUGGAUGUCCAAACAACAUUUCACCUUGGAGAAUUGGAAUCUAUGUAUUUCCAUGUGAACGUUUUCCAUAAUGCUGUUUAUUUGCAAUUACAACAGCAGUGGAGAAUAGUGAGUGAUAUAUACAUGUGCAUUUCCCAUUUCCAUAUAGAAUGUGUAUUCCGAUUUGACUUGCUUAUUUUGUCCUUCCAUUUUGUAGGCAUAGUGCGUUAAUAUUAAUAUCACAGCAUCUAUAUAUUUGAAUAAGAACAUAUUCUACGGAUUCUAGGCAAAUGUCCAAAUUCAAAUAAAUA